rnacentral:lncRNA from 1 species
GACUGAAGAAACUCCCAGGCAAAGUGAGACCCUUGAAGGAGGGAGGCGGGUUUAAAUAGGCGAUAGGGUCCAGCACAAUAAUGACUGCAGAUUUCCUCUGGCCGAUCUACAACUGCCAUAUGUCCCACUCACGAUGGCAGGCGGCUAAAAGCGGCUGGCAACUGACAGAACUAUUAUUGCACCGUACCUAGAGCAACGCUCCAGCA